rnacentral:lncRNA from 1 species
AUCGCCCACAUCUGCUCAGUGAAAGGAUGAAGAAUGGGUGACAGUGAACAGCACAGAGGGGAGCAAGACCAGCUCCAUCCCACGUGGAGGAUUUAGGAAUGGCUGGCACCAAGAUCUGAGAAUCGCUCUAUAAUCAGAAAACGGGCACAAGGGAAACUGAGCGAUCAUCGAAUCCAGCUUUCUCCCUUCUCAGGUGAGGAGAUCGCAGUCCAAAGAGCCAGAGAUGCUUCCCCAAAGCCCAAAGUCCACAGGGAAAGCCAGCCUCCAAACCUGCGCUGGAGCCCAGCACUCCUACCUGUCCCCGCCAGAGGCUGCUUCCUGCAGAGGGGCCUCUGGCCUGGACAGCAGCCCGAGGCUCCUGUUAUUUCAGCGAGCUCGAUUUUCCAGCCACCGUCACACCCCCACCGGCAGGACCGUCACCCAGGCCGUGGAAGAGGGGAUCCCCUGCUCUGAUCUCCAAGCAGGGUUCUAGAAAGGCCACUCCCGCUGCAUGCCUAGUGUGUAACCCAGGUCCUGCAUACAGUUGGCCUCAAAUAGCUGCCGACUGAAUGAACGGACAAAUGAGAGUUUGAGGAGCAGUGAAAAUCCAAAGUCACAAGAAUAAACACUCUUGUUUGAAAAUGGAGCAUGCAACAGAC